rnacentral:misc_RNA from 1 species
AACAUCGCGCACCUGCGGGAACCUGCGGAAGGAUCAUUAAUGAUUGGUGGCUGUUGCUGACUAGUGUUUCUAGUAUGUGCACGCCACACCUUCAAUCUCACUUACACCUGUGCACCUUCUGUAAUAGAUCUAUGUGGAUACGGAGAUGUGAAAGUUUGCGCUCUCCUACUCUGUUGAAGCAGUCUACUACGUUUUUUUACACACACACACACAAUAGUCAUUGAAUGUAUUUUUUAUUCU